AUUACCGCGGCUGCUGGCACGUAGUUAGCCGGCGCUUCUUCUGCAGGUACCGUCACUCUCGCUUCUUCCCUACUGAAAGAGGUUUACAACCCGAAGGCCGUCAUCCCUCACGCGGCGUCGCUGCAUCAGGCUUUCGCCCAUUGUGCAAUAUUCCCCACUGCUGCCUCCCGUAGG
rnacentral:rRNA from 1 species